UAUCUUAUGUUAGGACACUCACCAUGGUUUUGGAUGAAGUUGUAGAAAACCUGCCAGAAAUCAGCUUAAAGAAGAGGAAGAUCUUGUUACCUAUUCAUUGAUACAUAAAAUACAAUAUGAAUAGAAGUCAUAAGGAGCAAUUAACCACUGGGGAACAUUGUAGGGGCAGAGAUCAUCAUAGAUCAUUGAUGGACCUAUGAAUUGGAAAACAAAUCCUUCCUGAAAACCAGCAAUGAUGAAAAGACAAGAAAAUAACCAAAGCAAUCUUCACUGAAUCACAUGAAGGCCGCUGCCCCAACAAAAGUCAACUAGAGGAAAGAACUGUAUGGUUGAUGAAUGUGAUUUUGGAGUCUGGGGAGCCUUAGCCAAGAAGAUGUAGCCAGAAGCAGUAAGUGGAAACUAGAGGCAGUGAGUGCAAACCUGAGGCAGCAAGUGGAAACUAUAAUAGGAAACCUGAGGAAAGCUACCUGGUAUGUAUUAUUGUUUAAUUGUUAAAACGAAGCAGAUUGAUGUCCUAGAAAUAUUUAUGAAAGGUUACCU